UCAGAUAUGUCUUGGGAAGUGGUACGGAGAAUGUUAUUUGGUUAAUAAUAUUAACCGCGGAUCAUCCUUAACUCUUUCACAAUCCUCUGUGGAUACUGGCCGUUUCUCCUUGGAUGUUUGACUUCUUUCUCUUAAUUAUCUGCAUCCACUUUGUUCUUUCUCUGUAACAGGUGGAACACUGUUCAGUCAUUUAAAUUUCCUUAGCAAGCAGCAUUAGGAUAGUAAAAAAGAAAAUAUCUCAAUCUAUGAUGUGCAUUGGCUAAAUAUGAACAUUGUGAAAAAAGGUAAUAUAAACAAGAGGAAGGUGUAUUAUGGGGAAGGAAACUUUUAUCAGCAGCAAAUAAAUGUUCCAUCGCUCAUGUUGUUUCCUGAAGGUCAAGUGGAAACAAAUACCGGUACAAUGUGAAUAUGUGAUCUAAAGAAAGUCUCUGGGAGCAGAGAUAUGUCGGUUAAGAGAGGUAGUUCUUUAAGGGUUUGGCAAGGAUUUGGGUCUAUUGAGUUGAAGAAAGAGUCAUCGGAAGGGGUGGCUUUGGAGAUGCUCGCACUUUUUGCUCCAUACUUACUGAAACUUCUUUAUGUAUGUCAAAACAAAAUAACUGUUACGAUUUCCCUAUAGAUUUUAACAUAAUUAAAAGGGCUAGGCAAUGCCAUUGUGGAGCUGUAAGCUGUUUGAGCAGCUAAGAGAGAGUCUGGAUAUAAAAGCUCUUCUAUGGUGAAGAUGUAAUUUCUGUCUCAGCAUGAGUAGUAUGUUUUGAACUGAGAAAUCAGGUUAUAAUAAAUGUUUGCAUCUUAACAAUUUGGUAGACUCUCAAACUGGAUCGGGCUGUCAUAUUUCCGUCCUAAGGUAAAGGUUGAAUGUGCUUGAUCAUACUUAUGUUACCAUAUUAUCGAGACAAAAUAUGUGUUCGAUCAUACUCUGGCAAAAACAGGAAAUUAAGCUUCUCUUACCCCUUCUAAGUUAGAGGUUUAAUAUUAUAAAUCAUACUCCAGUGAAAGAAGGAAAUUAAGCUUCUCUUUCCACAAACUUCUAUCCUUUUUUGGAGAACUACUUUCUCGAACUUGCUUAACCAUACCGUUCAACAUGAAAUUUGUCAAGUAGUAACAACUUUUGAUGAACUAGAUAAUCGUGCAGUCAAUAUUUUUGACCAGGAAGUUAGCCUCUUCAUCCUUUCUUUUUUAUAAAUUUUUUGAACCGUCGUCUAAGUCGAUGUUGAAAUCAACUUCGAUAAUAGGUUACGAACAUUGACAGAGUACAUUGGAAGUUAAAUAUAUUUCCAAGCAGGGGACAUGGUGAAGAGAUUACAUGGAACCUGAGACUCUGCGUGAUGCAUGUCAGUUUCUUCAGAAAAAAAUUAGAGUUUUCUUUAAAGUAAUUAGGUAACCGACGCAUCACAGACCAAUUGUUAAAAGAUGAAGUCCUUACAGUUGUUUAGGAGGUGCAAGUGAGGUAGUCUCAGGUCAAUCAUGUUGUAUGUCAUGAAAAAGUGUAAAUUAGGUGAAAACUCGAGGCUUACAUUCCCAUGUAUCUAAUCAAAAUUGAAUAAAAGAAGAAAAACAUACCUAUAGAGCAGUUUGAUACACUAAGUUAUGGAUGGCUCAUUUUAAU
rnacentral:lncRNA from 1 species